rnacentral:rRNA from 1 species
CACGCUGUAAACGAUGAGUACUAGGUGUCGGGGGUUACCCCCUUCGGUGCCGCAGCUAACGCAUUAAGUACUCCGCCUGGGAAGUACGCUCGCAAGAGUGAAACUCAAAGGAAUUGACGGGGACCCGAACAAGUAGCGGAGCAUGUGGUUUAAUUCGAAGCAACGCGAAGAACCUUACCUAAGCUUGACAUCCCAAUGACAUCUC